rnacentral:rRNA from 1 species
GAGCAGAGGAUGCAAGCGUUAUCCGGAAUGAUUGGGCGUAAAGCGUCUGUAGGUGGCUUUCAAGUCCGCCGUCAAAUCCCAGGGGCUCAACCCUGGACAGGCGGUGGAAACUACCAAGCUGGAGUACGGUAGGGGCAGGAGGGAAUUUCCGGUGGAGCGGUGAAAUGCAUUGAGAUCGGAAAGAAACACCAACGGCGAAAGCACUCUGC